rnacentral:rRNA from 1 species
ACCAGCGGCGAUAGCACGUUGAACACACAAGUUUAAAAAGGAUCACUGAAGUUAAGAAACGUUGCGCGUAGUUGGUAUACGGAUGGGUGACCAUCUGGGCUAUGGUGUACCUGCUGGCU